rnacentral:rRNA from 1 species
GACGAACGCUGGCGGCGUGCUUAACACAUGCAAGUCGAACGGAAAGGCCCUGCUUUUGUGGGGUGCUCGCGUGGCGAACGGGUGAGUAACACGUGAGUAACCUGCCCUUGACUUUGGGAUAACUUCAGGAAACUGGGGCUAAUACCGGAUAGGAGCUCCUGCUGCAUGGUGGGGGUUGGAAAGUUUCGGCGGUUGGGGAUGGACUCGCGGCUUAUUAGCUUGUUGGUGGGGUAGUGGCUUACCAAGGCUUUGACGGGUAGCCGGCCUGAGAGGGCGACCGGCCACAUUGGGACUGAGAUACGGCCCAGACUCCUACGGGAGGCAGCAGUGGGGAAUAUUGCACAAUGGGCGGAAGCCUGAUGCAGCAACGCCGCGUGCGGGAUGACGGCCUUCGGGUUGUAAACCGCUUUCGCCUGUGACGAAGCGUGAGUGACGGUAAUGGGUAAAGAAGCACCGGCUAACUACGUG